rnacentral:ncRNA from 2 species
GAGAUAAGGGCAUCGUCAGGUGCCCCUUGCGGGGAGAAUCGGGAAGCCGGUGAAAGUCCGGCGCGGGCCCGCCGCUGUAUCGGGGAUCGUUCGGCAGAGGCCACUGGGGCUAUCCCCGGGAAGGCGCCGGGACGAGAGGAUCCGGAGCCAGAAGACCGGCCUGGCGUCAUCGCGUUUC